rnacentral:lncRNA from 1 species
GACAUCAGCAUGCCUAUAUGUCGGGGCAGUGCAUCUGUGUGACAUCAAAAUCACAAAGAGAAAACAAGAAAUUCAUAAUCACGCUGUAGAUGUAAGUAACAACCUUACACUCCCAAGUCACAGAGAACACAUUCUCUCCAGCUCACGGGCAAGUUAUACAGAAGCAAACACCAAUGGCCAAGGAUCACCUGACCGUUCAAUAACUUAGAAAUCAGUAUAAUCAUCACAUUAUUGCCAUCCACCUCCAGACUCCUAACUACUAAUGGAGAAAAUUAAUGCAAAUUAGCAAAUUUUAGUACAGGUCAGACAAUCAAUGCACUAGUACCAAGGUAUAUAAAGCUUUAAAAGCAUAUAAUAGAAAGAAAAGGAGCAUAUAUUCUAAACAUUUUUCUUAGUCUGACCUGGAGGUAUAACUCAGCAGUAAAGUGAAUGUCUAGUAUAUACUUAACUCUGGAUCCAAUCCCUAGCACCCAGAAAUAGAUAGAUGUGUAAAUGAAAGAUAGAUAGAUAGAUAGAUAGAUAGAUAGAUAGAUAGAUGGAUAGGUAGGUAGAUAGAUAGAUAGAUGGAUGGAUGGAUGGAUGGAUAGAUGGAUGGAUGGAUGGAUAGGUAGGUAGGGAGAUAGAUAGAUAGAUAGAUAGAUAGAUAGAUAGAUAGAUAGAUAGAUGGAUAGGUAGGUAGAUAGAUGGAUGGAUGGAUAGAUGGAUGGAUGGAUGGAUAGGUAGGUAGGGAGAUAGAUAGAUAGAUAGAUAGAUAGAUAGAUAGAUAGAUAGAUAGAUAGAUGAUAGGUAGAUGGUAGAUGACAGAUAGAUGAUAGAUGGUCAAUCGAUCGAUAGAUGGAUAAGAUAAGAGUACUGACCCGAGAAACUGGAGGAAAGAAUAAAUAACAAAGGAAAAAAGACAG